ACAGCAACUCCAUAUUCUUGUUAUUCAAUUCUUGCUUCUUACAAGUUCAGUGCCAGUAUUCAUGGUGAUUGCAUUCUCUGCAAUCAGGAAGACAUUAU